GGACGCGCUGUACCCGAGGAAUCCACCAAAAUGACGAGGUUGGUUGGAUUGGUUGUUACCUCUGUUGUAUUAUUGGUAUCUUCAUCUCAGUUUGCACUCGCCAGCUGUGGUGGCGAAGGUGGAUCAACGUGUCAAAGAAAUUCU
rnacentral:sRNA from 1 species